rnacentral:lncRNA from 1 species
AUGAGUUUUAUAAUCAAGUCAUCUAUUAUUAGUAAGCAGAUACAAGCUGGUUUUAGAAAAGGCGGAAGAACCAGAGAUCAAAUUGCCAACAUCCGCUGGAUCAUGAAAAAAGCAAGAGAGUUCCAGAAACACAUCUAUUUCUGCUUUCCUGACUAUGCCAAAGCCUGUGAUUGUGUGGCUCACAAUAAACUGUGGAAAAUUCUGAAAGAGAUGGGAAUACCAGACCACCUGACCUGCCUCUUGAGACAUCUGUAUGCAGGUCAGGAAGCAACAGUUAGAACUGGACAUGGAACAACAGAUUGGUUCCAAAUAGAAAAAGGAGUACGUCAAGGCUGUAUAUUGUCACCCUGCUUAUUUAACUUAUAUGCAGAGUACAUCAUGAGAACUGCUGGACUGGAAGAAAGACAAGCUGGAAUCAAGAUUGCUGGGAGAAAUAUCAAUAACCUCAGAUAUGCAGAUGACACCACCCUUAUGGCAGAAAGUGAAGAGGAACUAAAAAGCCUCUUGAUGAAAGUGAAAGAGGAGAGUGAAAAAGUUGGCUUAAAGCUCAACAUUCAGAAAACUAAGAUCAUGGCAUCCGGUCCCAUCACUUCAUGGGAAAUAGGUGGGGAAACAGUGGAAACAGUGUCAGACUUUAUUUUGAGGGGCUCCAAAAUCACUGCACAUGGUGAGUGCAGCCAUGAAAUUAAAAGAUGCUUACUCCUUGGAAGAAAAGUCAUGACCAACCUAGAUAGCAUAUUCGAAAGCAGAGACAUUACUUUGCCAACAAAGGUCCAUCUAGUCAAGGCUAUGGUUUUUCCUGUGGUCAUGUAUGGAUGUGAGAGUUGGACUGUGAAGAAGGCUGAGCGCCAAAGAAUUGAUGCUUUUGAACUGUGGUGUUGGAGAAGACUCUUGAGAGUCCCUUGGACUGCCAGGAGAUCCAACCAGUCCAUUCUGAAGGAGAUCAGCCCUGGGAUUUCUUUGGAAGGAAUGAUGCUAAAGCUGAAACUCCAGUACUUUGGGCACCUCAUGCGGAGUUGA